GCUGCCGUCCAGCCGGCACAGGGUGACGGCGCGGGACUGCGGCGUCCGGGCUGCGGCUGCGUCGAACAGCUCGGCGAGCGUCGCUUCCUCGACGGCAGCG
rnacentral:tRNA from 1 species